rnacentral:rRNA from 1 species
UACGUAGGCAGCGAGCGUUGUUCGGAGUUACUGGGCGUAAAGAGUGCGUAGGCGGUUUUCUAAGUUUGGUGUGAAAUCUCCCGGCUUAACUGGGAGGGUGCGCCGAAGACUGGAAGGCUUGAGUAUGGGAGAGGUAAGCGGAAUUCCUGGUGUAGCGGUGAAAUGCGUAGAUAUCGGGAGGAACACCAGAGGCGAAGGCGGGCUACUGGGCUGAUACUGACGCUGAUGCGCGAAAGCCAGGGGAGCAACGGG